GCCUUUUAAGUAAAUAAAUUUGUUGUAAAUUUAUUAACUUAUUUAUUCUUCUUUAUAUUUAUUUUCAAAUUAACUUAUUAAACACACAUAUUUAAGCAUAUUUGGUUCAGUAUUUGUUUCUUACUUAAACGUAAAAUUUAGAUCAAAUUUUUUUUUCUAAUUUCCAAAAUAUUGGCGCUAAUCAUGUGCUUAUGGCGGUAGAAGGAAUUUUGGCAUUCUAAACCUACUCUGUAACACCCCGUAUUUUUAUAACCGUUAAAUAAUUAUCUGUAUUAAUUUAUUUAAUGAAAAUGAUUACAGAUUUCUUUUAUUAAAAAUAUAUUUUUUUUUACUAACUUUGACUUUACCUUUGAAGUGGUUAAAAAAAAACUGAUUACUAGAUUUACUAGGUUUACUAUCUAAUUAGAGUUGAAGACGUGAAAAAAAAGGAAAAAAAAAGAAGAAAAGAAUACAAAUACCCAAAACCCACAGUAUCAUCAUCACUCAUCACGUCAUUUUUUUCCUCUGCAAAACUCCAUCUUCUUAUUCUAUAUUUCACAUUCUUUUUCUAUUUUAUUUCUUCCUCCUUUAACUCUUCCUUCAACCAUUAUCACACAUCCAUUGAUACAUCAUCUCCACCUUCAUCAUCUCUAGUUCGUUAGUUUUAAAAGAUAGGAAAUUUUUGGGUUAUUGGACUCGCGGUUUUCGGAUCAAGAGGUCGAGACUGUUGGGUCUUUAUAGUGUAAUCUCACUUUUAUUACUUUUCCUAAUCAAGGACUUGAAGAUAGUUAGCUCCAGUUGGGUUAAAGAGUGCGUUGGAUCCCUUUUGAUUUAAUAGGACUUUAAAAAGACUUCCGCUGUUAUUUAUUUGACUAUAAGAUUUAUGUUCUGGUUUGUAAUAAUUAUUUUACAUUCUAUUUAGUUGGUCUGUAAUAAUUAGUUAAAACUUUUGGUUAUUGUUUUAGUUAGAACCAUUAGCCUUACGAUUAUUAUUAAUAAUUAUCGCGCCGUAGCACCUUUGGAUUUCCGAAUUUAUUUUUAUUAAGUUGAUUUUAGAAGUAUUGGAAAUUCAGGGUUGUUACAUACUCGGUUGAGGCUGAGUUAUUCCUCCCACUUUUAUCUAACUCUAUUCCUCUUACCUUCAAAAACUGCCAUUAAUUCUCACACCAUCACACAGAUUCCACCACUAUAAUUCAUGCAUGAAAUUUGACGAUCGGCUUCUCCCUCACACCGUCGUUGGUAAGAUUGCAAUUCAAUCGGUUGGUUUUUAUGAAUUUGUAUGUUUGCAAUUCAACCAUUGUAACGCAAUUCAACCUCGUCAUCAGUCUAACGGUUUGUUUUUAUGAAUUUGUAUGUUUGCAAUUCAACAACCAUUGUAACGCAAUUCACCUGUCAUCAAUCUAACGCAAUUCAACCUCGUCAUCAGUCUAACGCAAUUCACCGGUCCUUCAUCUUGUAGAAUUGCGCGUUUGAACUGCUUUCAAAUGGCUAAAGGCAGAGGAAACACAAGUUCAAAGGAGGUGUCUGAUUACGAAAAACAACGAUUGAUGACAAUUCAAGCUAAUAAAGAGAAAAUGCAAUCCUUGGGCAUAAAACAUCUCGCGUCAUCUUUGGCAAGCUUGGUUGAAAAUACGAAGGAGAAUAAAAGCAACAAGAAACGAAAAGCUACCCAAGAAGAUGAUGACUUUGUCCCUGAAGAUGAGGAUAUUCGUCAUGAUGAAUAUGCAGAUAAGGAAUGUGAAACAGA